GAAGCUUCGACUAAGGUUCGACUCGAGCGAAGCGAGAGAACGUUGCCGCAGGCAACGGCCCGAAGGGCGAGGCGCUUUAGCGCCGAGUAAUCCUUCCCCCACCACCA
rnacentral:sRNA from 2 species